GAUGAACGCUAGCGGGAGGCCUAACACAUGCAAGCCGAGCGGUAUUUGUCCUUCGGGACAGAGAGAGCGGCGUACGGGUGCGGAACACGUGUGCAACCUGCCUUUAUCUGGGGGAUAGCCUUUCGAAAGGAAGAUUAAUACCCCAUAAUAUAUCGAAUGGCAUCAUUCGAUAUUGAAAACUCCGGUGGAUAGAGAUGGGCACGCGCAAGAUUAGAUAGUUGGUGAGGUAACGGCUCACCAAGUCAGUGAUCUUUAGGGGGCCUGAGAGGGUGAUCCCCCACACUGGUACUGCGACACGGACCAGACUCCUACGGGAGGCAGCAGUGAGGAAUAUUGGACAAUGGGUGAGAGCCUGAUCCAGCCAUCCCGCGUGAAGGACUAAGGCCCUAUGGGUUGUAAACUUCUUUUAUACUGGGAUAAACCUACUUACGUGUAAGUAGCUGAAGGUACAGUAUGAAUAAGCACCGGCUAACUCCGUG
rnacentral:rRNA from 1 species